rnacentral:rRNA from 1 species
AGUGAACGCUGGCGGUAGGCCUAACACAUGCAAGUCGAACGGCAGCACAGUAAGAGCUUGCUCUUACGGGUGGCGAGUGGCGGACGGGUGAGGAAUACAUCGGAAUCUACUUUUUCGUGGGGGAUAACGUAGGGAAACUUACGCUAAUACCGCAUACGACCUACGGGUGAAAGCAGGGGAUCUUCGGACCUUGCGCGAUUGAAUGAGCCGAUGUCGGAUUAGCUAGUUGGCGGGGUAAAGGCCCACCAAGGCGACGAUCCGUAGCUGGUCUGAGAGGAUGAUCAGCCACACGGGAACUGAGACACGGUCCAGACUCCUACGGGAGGCAGCAGUGGGGAAUAUUGGACAAUGGGCGCAAGCAUGAUCCAGCCAUACCGCGUGGGUGAAGAAGGCCUUCGGGUUGUAAAGCCCUUUUGUUGGGAAAGAAAAGCAGCAGGUUAAUACCCCGCUGUUCUGACGGUACCCAAAGAAUAAGCACCGGCUAACUUCGUG